UUUCUUUUAUGAUGAUUCAUUUAUUUUUACCAGUUAUCCCUGACAGAAGUUAUUGAAUGGUGAUAUAUUUUUCUGAAUUGAAA